rnacentral:rRNA from 1 species
GACGAACGCUGGCGGCGUGCCUAAUACAUGCCAGUAGAACGCUGAAGCGAGGAGCUUACUCUUCUUGGAUGAGUUGCGAACGGGUGAGUAACGCGUAUGUAACCUGCCUUGUAGCGGGGGAUAACUAUUGGAAACGAUAGCUAAUACCGCAUAACAAUGGGUGACACAGUGCAUUUAGUUGAAAGGGGCAAUUUCUCCACUACAAGAUGGACCUGCGUUGUAUUAGCUAGUAGGUGAGGUAAUGGCUCACCUAGGCGACGUUAUAUAGCCGACCUGAGAGGGUGGUCGGCCAGCCUGGGACUGAGACCCGGCCCAGAGUCCUACGGGAGGCGGCAGGAGGGAAACUUCGGCAAUGGGGGCAACACUGACCGCGAAAGGCCGAGUGAGUGAAGAAGGUUGUCGGAUCGUAAAGCUCUGUUGUCAGUUAAGAACGGGUGUGAGAGUGGAAAGUUCACACUGUGACGGUAGCUUACCAGAAAGGGACGGCUAACUACGUG